rnacentral:lncRNA from 8 species
CUUUCGUUCAGUCGGUAAACUCUCCACUUGUUACGCUUAUAUUAAUAGAGUAUAAUUUACACAGGUUAGGAGGGGACCGCACGGGUUCAAGUUGAAAAGCACCGCAGUCCGAAGAUGCGAGAAGCUUCUGUGAAAACCACCACUGCCUCUGCUGUCUCUCAGGGCACUGCCAGUUCUACUACAGCCUCUGUAAGUGCUCUUCUCUGCUAUAGCCUCUAAGACGAACCUCAGAACAUUUCUUAACUAAUAUCAUUACAACCAUUAAAACAUGGCAGAAACAAAACUGUAUCACUGUAACGGUUCUGUAACGACAGACGCUGGGCGACGAAAAGCAAGUACAGGGUGUGGAUUUAAUAAUAAAUAGACAUGAACCAAAACAAGAAGAGCGUCUGGACAGGAGAAACAUAACUAUAUCAAUGCUG